UUUGUGAGACGGUCUAACAAGAGACCUAUCUUCAAAUAUUAAUACAACCAAACACAACUAUUUCACAGCAAAAUAUUUUUUUUGACUGCAACAUGCUGCAAAAUAUAAUUGGCAAACUGGCUUAGAAAGGUAACAAAGGGAAAUUAAUAAGAUCACCAUUAAUCCUGGAGUAAGCUCAUUCAUUGUGAUGGCAAAGCGAGUCAAGUUAUAACGUGUUCCAUAGUAAUCGAGCUUCAGAUAGAGAUUCAUGACCUUUUCCUUUGGAGCAAUCUCCAUCAACAUAGUGCAUGCUCUCAUCCCAUUUCCCAAACAAAGUUGCCACAGUCUUUCCACUCUUGUCUUGGACAACUUCCUGCACCUGCAUUCUCAAAGUUGCUUUUAUGGAGAAAUCCUGAAGAAUAAUACUCCAGAAGCAUCUAUCUAUUAUUUAAUAGAUUACAUAUUCAAGGACUCCCCUUAAUUCAAGAUCCUAUGUGGCACAUCCUCUAUUCUCUAUUCUAAUUUAUCUUAAAUCCUCAUUUAAUCAUUCUAAUCUAUACAUUCUAUCAUCCCACAUUGAAUUUAUAGUAGUCAAUGACUACUAGAGAACACAUAUAAAAGGAUUAGAUAUAAUGUGUAUUUCUCCAUCCCUCAAUUAUUUUGCACAUUUAAUUAAAUUUGAUUUAUUAAUUAGUUGGCCAAAUAAAUAGUUUUAUUUUUAUUGAAAAUUUUGUUUUUAUCAAUUAUUAAAACGUCAAUGCUAAUUGGCUAAGUAAUUGAUUUUUUUUAAUUAGAAAAUAUUUAAGUUCACAAAAUUAUAAGUUGACGUAAUUUGAAGAAUCGUAGAAUUGCAUUUCUCCAUAUGUUAAAUAUUUGAGCAAAUAAUUAGAAAAUAUUUGCUAGAUUUUUAUAAUUUUUGAAACAUAAAUUUUUAAACUGAUGUAUCCCCUUAGAAAAAAUUGUCAUGAUUAUGUGAUUUUCUCUAUUUUUUAAUUUUAUUCAUCUCAAGUCCUCAUUUUAAUUAUUUUUUAUCCAAUCCCACAUCAAAUUUAUAGUAGUGUAUGCCUACUAGAGAACAUAUAUAAAAUGAUUAGAUACAAUGUGUAUUUUUCCAUAUUUCAAGUAUUUGCACCUCCAAAUAAACAUAUAGUAGUGUAUGCCUACUAGAGAACAUAUAUAAAAUGACUUGAAGAAAUAUAGAAUUGCAUUUCUUCGUAUGCUAAAUAUUUGAGCAAAUAAUUAGAAGAAAAUAUUUGAAAAAUUAUUAGAAUUAUGAAACAUAAACUUUUAAACUGAUAGUAUAAGAUAAAAUCAAUAUACUUCUCUUAGAAAAAAUUAACAUGUAUGAUUAUACGAUUUUCUCUAUUCCUUAUUUUUAAUCAUUUUUAUCCAUAUCUUCUCCAAUACCACAUCAAAUUUAUAGUAGUCUAUCAUUACUAGAGAACAUAUAUAAAAGGAGUAGAUAUAAUAUGUAUUUUCCCAUCCCUGAAUUAUUUUGCACCUCAAAUUAAAUUUGGUCAGUUAAUUAGUUGGUCAAAUAAAUAAUUUUAUUUUUAUUGAAAAUAUUAUUUUGAUCUAUUAUUAAGAUGUCUAGCUAAGUAAAUGAUUUAAUUUUAACUAGCAUUUACACCCCGUGCAAUGAACGGAAAAAUAUUUUAAAUUUUUUUAUUUAUAUUAAAGUAAUACUAAUUUAAUUAUCAUACUUAUAAAUAUAUAUAUAUAUUUAUAUUUUAACUGAAUAUAUUUGAGCAAAUAAAUAGAAGAAAAUAUUUUCCGGAUUUUAGAAAUUGUCAUGGAUGAUUAUACGAUUUUCUCUAUUCUCUAUUUUUAUUUUUCUUAUGUCCUUAUUUUAAUCAUUUUUAUCCAUAUAUUCUUCAAUCCUAUAUCUAAUUUAUAGUAGUCUAUGACUACUAGAGAAUAUAUAUAUAAAAGGAUUAGAUAUAACGGUAAAUAUUACUUUAAACCCCAAAUUAUGUUCACACAAUUAAUUAUAUCUUGAACUAUUGAAAAAUAUUUUUUAAGACUUAAACUAUCGAUUUUGUAUUAAUUGUACCCUUCAUCCAUUUUUCACUCCUUAAAUUUUCAAUUAAUAAAGCAUAUAAUGAUGUUGUUUUAUGGAGUAUAAAGCAUGUUAAAAAAGGAUUGAUUUUGAAUAAUCAUAACAUCCGGCGAGCCACGUCAAAUUUUCAGAGCCAAAAAAAUAGACGAGUGGUGCAAUUGAUACAAAAUUAAUAAUUCAAGGUUUGUAAAAAAAAUCUAUAAUUAAGGAUAUAAUUGAUAGUGUAAAAAUAAUUUGAGGUUUAAAGUAAUACUAGCAUUUGCACACCGUGCAAUGCACGGGAAACUUUAAACUUUUAUAUUUAUAUAAAACUGAUAUCAACUCAAUUAUCAUAUCUAUAAAUAUAAUUUAAAAAUAGUUUUAACUUAAUAUAUUAAUUUGAAAUGUAUAUUGAAAAAAUAAAAAAAUUACAAUAAUAAAAAUUGAUGUAAUGAAAAGAAAAAAAUUACAAUAUACUCCCUCCGUCCCAUGAAGCAAGAUCAAGUUUCCUUUUUGGUCUGUCCCACGAAGCAAGACCAGUUUCUAAAAGUAGCAAAAAAUUUACUCUUUAUUCACCUUUUCACUUUUUCAUCUACCACACUUAACACACAAAAUACCAAUUUCGAACUUGGUCUUGCUUCAUGGAACGGAGGGAGUAUAUUGCAUACUGCAUUCAAUCCAGAAGUUUUUAAAGAUAGAGAUAUUUUGGAGUAACUAACGAGAUGAUUAUUCGUGUAAAUUUUGCCGGCAUCAUUAACCAAUUAUUGAUUUAUAUUUUGUUUAUUUAUAUACAUAUUUUAUAAAUUUAAAUAACUUCAAGAAAUUAAUUGGUAUUACACACACACAUAGAUAUAUAUAUAUAUAUAUAUAUGUAUAUGUAUAUAUAUGGGUUUGGGACGAUAAUAAUAUUAAUAUCAUCACAUAUAUAAUUAGAAAAUGGAAUACUCCUAUGUAGCAUCACCAUAGUUAUGCAUUUUUAUCUAUCCUAUUUCUCAAAAAAAAAAAAAAACAUAUUUAUUAAUUCUUAUUUAUCUAAAUCUUCUCAUCCCACAUUGAUUUUUUUUAUGAAAAUUUACCAAUUGAAAUACUAAAUAAAUUGAUACUAUAAUUUGAAUCUCGUAUCAAUUUGUUAAGUCUUAGACGAGAUGAUUCUCAAAACUUAGUUAUGGUCUUUCAAACUUCAAAUAAGAUGAUGCUUACCCAGUUUUAUUCUUUCAAACUCCAAACGAAAUGAUGGUUGAAAUUCAGUUAUUCUAUUUUAAGCUCCAAAUGAGAUGAUGCACAUAACUAUAUAUGUUAUGGUUUUUGAAGCUCCAUACAAGAUGAUGUUUAGAAGUUAGUUAUGGUAUUUUAAACUCCAAAUGAGAUGAUGCACAUAAUCAUGUUAUGGUUUUUCAAGCUCCAUACAAGAUGAUAUUUAAAAGUUAGUUAUGAUCUUAUAAGCUUCAGAUUGUAUAAUCUCACAAAUCAGCCCUGAUCUUUCAAGCUCCUAAUGAAAAUAAUGUUUAGAAGUAAGUUAUGAUAUUUAAAGUAUCAAAUAAUGAUGUUCAAACGAUUGACGCAUAAAAGCCAGAUAUAUUGUUUCAGGGUCCAGACGAGAUAAUCCUAAAAAAUUUGGCGUUCAAAAGUUAAAUAUUGUCUUUCGAGUUCUUGAUGAUCCUCUGGUCUUAUAGAGUUGAGAUGGGAUGAUGCUUAUAUGACAUAUGAGAUCUUAAAUUAAUUUUUACCUGUCAAUAUAAAAAAAUUGUACAAAAUUUAUAUAAAAGAGUAUUUUUAUUAUUCUAGCAAAAAAUGAACAUUUAAUUGACGAAUAUAGUUGAAAUUAAUAUAACAUAAACUCUAUUAAAAAUAAUAUAAAUAAUUUAAAUCAAAAUUUAAAGUCCCGUCGAAUUUCGACGGGUUAUACACUAGUAGUUACAUGAAAGCAUCAACUUGUCAAGAUAUAAGAUAAGUUAUCAGGAGAAUCUUCAUCUAGCACCAAAUAUUGUUGCAGAAAUAUGCUGAGACGCUAUUCAGUUUGCAGGGUUUAGUUAUUUUACAAUUGUACACGCACCAACAAAAUUAAGAUAACUCAGUUUCAUCAACAUAUAUAAGCCUGAUUCGAAAUGUGUACAAGCCUUUGAUUCCAUGAAACAUAAUGGUCCAUUUCCAUUUAUACGACAUUAUUUAAGAUGGUUUAUACCAGAAUAAAUGUUGACAUUUUCAUUUUCAUUAGCAUGGUAAAUAGAACCAUGUUUUGCAUUUUAGUGAUUCAUGGAUUAAAAAGAAAUUAAACCAAAAUUUAUAUCAUCAAACAUUUCCAUCUUGUUUAUAUUAACUUUUUCAUUUCGCAGGACACUUUUUCUUUCUUAUUGUAAAAGAGAAAAGACAUAAAACAUAAUUUCACAUGCCUCAAGAAAAAGAGAAAAAAACCAAAGUUACCUACUUUAGAUAGGUAUAAAAGAUAUUAAUGGUAUGAGAGAGCACCUGAUGAGGAUUCCGGUCUAUGAUGGACUGCUCCUUGAAUAAUUAAAUGUGGUAAUGUGGUGUGGUCCACCAAAAAGUAUGAGUACUCUUUUUAUGAAAAGACUAAAUAGUACUCUCUUAUUAUUACUUAAUAAAGCCUUAAACAUUUCCAUAUUAAGACUGAGCCAAUUGGAGUGGGACAACCUAAAAUGGAAAAUGAGGCUAUUGGAGUGGGACGAAUGUAGUAAUAUUAUUAUUAAUAAUUUUAAUUUUUUUAGUUUAUUAAUCACUAAUUUGGAUAGUUCUAAUUAUUGUUAUUUUCAUCAUUAUAUGAUACUAAUUAUUGUUAUUUUCAAGUUUAUAUAAUAUUUAUGUUGUUAUUUUCGUGUCAGAAGUUGAAGAUAUGAAAUUAUUUUAUUUUUUUAUUUUUCUUUUGUUAGAGAAUGCUACUUGAUAUUGGUGUAACUAGGGUUGUCGAUCGGUUCGGGUUCGGUUAUCCGUACCCGAAUUUUCGGUUACCCGAACCCGAAAUUGUCAUAUUUCACUAACCGUUUUCGAACCGUUUUAGGUAUUCGGUUACCCAAUAACCGCUUCGGUUACCCGAUUCGGUUAUUUGUGUAUCCGAAAUACCCAUUUAAAAAAUUUAAAUUUAAAUAAUUUGCUAGAUAGAGGAUUUGAACCUUAGUCUCUAAAAAAUACACAAAGCAACUUAUCCAUUAGACUAAAGCUCAUUUUUAUACCUUAAAUAUAUCAUAAUUUUAUUUUAGCUAAAAAUCGAUUUAAAAAAAUAAAUUAAUUAAUUAAUGAAUUAAUAAUUAAAAAAUAUAUAUAAUAUAAUAUUAAAUAAUUUUUGGUUAUUUUGGUUGGGUUAACCGAUACUCGAAAUUUUUCUAAAAAUGAUACCCGAAACCGAACCGAUAAUCAAAAAAUUCGAUUAUUGGAUACCCAAACCCGAGAAAUUCUGUUCUGUUAACGGAUUAUCCAAAACCCGAUAACCAAUUAGACAGCCCUAGGUGUAACAAUGAUGUUAUUCAAAUUGCGCCCACCCUAAUAAAUUAUGAAGGACUUGCAUCGGUGGACCGGUGGUUCAUUUCAACCAAUACAAGCUUGAUGGCGAACUAUAUUAUGUAUUAAUUUCACCACAAAUUGCUUACUUUUUCAACAUCUCCCCUACUCAACUUUCACAUCACAACUUAACCAUCAAAUUGAGUAAAACUAGAAAGUCAACCGUUUUCCUUAGAUAGUACUCCAUCCGUCCCAAUUUUUAGUAUCCAAAUUUCUUUUUUGAUCCUCCCAUAUUUUGGUAUUUAUUUUAAUUUUUCAUAAAAGUAGGUGGGGUCCUUACUCCACUAUAAUUAUUUUAACUCUCACAUAAAAAGUUAGACCCUUAUUCCACUUACAACACACCAAUCACUUUAUUAAAAUACGUGCCGUUCUCAAUUGGAUACCAAAAGUCGGGACGGAGGGAGUAUGAAAUAUUAAAUUUGAAUUACACGUUGUCAACAUUUGACGCACUAAGAACGUGAUACCGUGACAGAGGGCUUCCAAGACAUUACGAGACAAAAUACAUGCAUAGGUAAAAUAGAAAUAAAAAUUUUGAAUAUAAAAAAAGUUAUUAUUAUUAUUAUUAUUAUUAUUUUUAAUCUGAAAUUUUUUAAUGCACAUGAUUGAACAUAAAAAUACAUGUUUAUAAACAUAAAUUUGCAUAACUUUGCACACAAAAAUGCAUUGCAUAUUUUGUGGCAACAACAUGCAUAUUUUUGUGUGCAAAGUUAUGCACGAUCUCUAUUUAAUUAUAUAUAUAUAUAUAUAUAUAUAUAUAUAUUUUAAUAGUUGAAAAUAAUUUUUUUAUCUUUGAGGGGGUUGAAAAGUAGUCUUGGUAGCAUUAAAUUCUAUCUGUGCCAUGCAUAUACAACAAAUUUAUAGUGUCCAAAUCAUACAGCUUUGCAAAUAUUGUCCAAAAUUUAUUCUGGUCCAUCCAAAGCUCCAUUGUAUAUCACGAACUCUUGAGCAAUAUAUAUAACCUUUAUUACAACAUAAAUAAUCAAAUUAAUCAUCAUCUCAUAUUGAGACGCGUUAAAUUGUUUUUUCCUAAAUCCAUACAUGAUAAAUACCAAAAAUAUUUAUAAAUACGAGCUUAAUUAGAUCUGAUCUUGGCCAAAAAAAUUAUAUAUAUAUAUUUCUUUAACGUGAGAUUUGCUCACCUGCAAAUUAUAAGUCAUGUACCACGAAUUCGAUUUAUGGUUAAACAAAACCUAGUCACUCUAGGAAAUUGUUUACCUGAAAAUAUAUAUAUCCCAAUAUUAUUUUUACCUCAAUUUUUAUGGUUGACUUGCUGAAUUAGUCAAAGUAUAAGCAAACAAUUCGUGUAUUUGACAAAGAGUUGAACACUUGAAGUAGCUAGCUAGUGACUUAGUAAGAACAAGCCAAACAAUAAAUUAAUUUGAGAAAAAGGAGAUUAUCAUGUUAGAUUGUCUCAUCAUAAACGAUCAAUAAUUUGGAUUGCAAACUCCUAUUUCACUAACAAUACUAUUAUAGAUAUUCUGAUACAAUUGAAUAUAAAUUUAUAUCUAUAUCUUGACACGUGUCAUGAUGGAAAAAUCUUACACAAUAAUUUGUAUUUGAAAAGAUGAAAUUUGGCAGACGCCAAUUCAAUUACAAUAUGCUAAAAUUCUUGGGUUUUAUAUACAAUCGAAUUCCCUAAUUGAUCACACCGACAAAUUCUAAACCAAACUUCAAAUUCAACUCUAGCUAAAUUCUAGGUUUUCUCCAACUGAAUAACUCUUAAAAAAAGUUUAAAUACAAUCAUAAUAUACGAAAAGUUUAACCAACACAAAAUCUUAUGUAGCAAUGCUUUUCUCUAUAGCACUUGAAUCCAGAUAACGAUAAAUGACUCGCCUAACAGAUCUUAACUUAUCGAGCCGUAUUACACGAGACUUGCUUUUAAUCAACAGAAAAAAUUUAUGUAAGAUAAUCUGACGAGUCAAGAUCUAUCACUCAUAUAGUUAAUAAUUUUAAAAUAUUUUAUCGUGCUCGAAAUCCGUAUUACACGAUACUUGCUCUUUAAUCAACACAAAAACUUAUGUAAGAUAGUUUGACGAGUCAAGAUCUAUCACUCAUAUAUUCAAUAAUUUUAAAAACUUGUCGGGCCAUAUUACACGAAACUGCCCUAUUACGUGAGACUUGCUUUUAAUCAACACAAAACCUCACGCAAGACAGUCUAACGAGCUAAGAUCUAUCACUCACAUAUCCAAUUAUAUAUAUUUAUAAUUCAAAAUUACUUUAUAGUGCUUCAAAAUUCAGAUAAUGACUCGUCUAACAAAUCUUAACUAGUUCGAACCGUUUAACACAUAAAGAUGUCACUUUCUUGCAUUAGUGAUAGGCUAUAACUAGUCACGCUAGGGGGAGACGUGGUCUUGAGCAAGUCAAUGGACACGCCAUAGGAAAAGAUCCACAACACGAAAAGACCAAAAUACCCAUCCCUAGCCUCGUAUAAUCCUCGUCAUUCACAAGGGCAAUUUAGUGAAAUCAAACCUAAUAUUUUUCAAACGUUAGAAGCUUUAUAAAUUGGUCUGUUAGAAGACAAAGGAAAACGGCUUUCAUUGUAAUCUUGACAACUGCCACACAUUCACCAGGGCUAAUAUAAAACACACACAACACACACUCAUAUAUCCCUCUGUCUUUUUCCAAUUUUAUUAUUCCCUUGUCUUUAAAAUUAAAUUUCUUUUGGGGAAAUUCGGAAAGUGGCUUUAUUUAUUUAUUUUGUUAUUUGAUAUAUAAAAAUAAUUCGAGGGGUCUGGAAAUUACGUUAGGGUCAUAUUGUUGCAUUCCCUUUCUGCGGCCGGGGGCGUCAAGUUUCCAACUUUGAGGGAGAUCUCAUUUGGGUUUUGUUUGGUUUGAUUUGGGUCUGCAUUUCUUGAUCUCGAGAUAAAGAGGGUGAUUGUUUGGUGAUUUUAGAGAGAGAAAGGGGAGAGAGAGAGAGAUGAGCGGUGUAUCAAGAAUUUGGGAGAAGGUGAAUAUGAUGGCGGAAGGAGGAUCUCGGAAUUGUUCCAAGAAAUCUGAUGAUAUAUGUGGCGAUGCCUGUGGUGAGGUAAAAAAAAAUCAUCUUUUUUUAGGGGGUUGCGUUUUUUGCUAAUGUAUGGCAUAAAAAGAGUGUGGGUUUUUUCCUCGCCUUUUUUCUUUUUAAAAUUCUUGAAUGUCUUGUUUCGGUUUUCGUUUGGGUGGGGAUUGUGGUUUGCUUUUUAGAUUCUGUAAAAAAAAAAUUAUUUUUUUAUUUUAUUGAUGAAACAUCAAUGGAUAAAUUUUUGAUUUUGGACUAUUGGGAUGAGGGAACAUUUGAAAUUUCGUUUUGUUUAGAGCAAUUUUGAGCUGUAGUUUUGUGUGUGUGUGUGUUUUAUUGAGGGAUUAGAUCAAAUUCCCCCAUUUAUGUAAUUAUUAUUUCUGGGAAUAUAUCAGCGUGAAGAAAUUUUAAGAUCCUGUGAUUUUUCGUUUGAAUUAUUUUGUGAAUGUUGCUUUUUUCUGGUUUAUCUACCGUUAUACCUCAUUUGAUUGGAGUGGGAUCUGAAAGAAUGUCCUGUUCUCAAUAAUAUUAUUUGGCACUUGCUUGAAUUUUCAAUUUUAUUGCUCUUAUCUUAUGCCUUGCAGGAAUUAUUCUGUGAUUUGUUGUAUGGUUUUCAUUAAUCUAUUGAAAGUCAUUAAAAAUGUUGUAGGGAAAGUAAGAUUCUUGCUUUAUUUGCAAUCUGUGAGGUCCAUAUUUGAAUAGCAUCACAAUGGAGAGAAUCUAGCUGUGGAAGUUGUGUAUAUGUUGGUUCGAGUUCGUGUUGAAUCGUAUGUAUGAUUGUUGCAGUUUUUCUAAUAAAUUUGGUGUUUGUGAAAAUUGCAGGAUUCAGGAAGGGCUUUGAGCAUGGCCAGAUUGAGAUGUAUUCUGCGGGGGCUGGAUUUCAAAGCAUUGCUCUUUCUCUUUGUGUUGAUCCCGACGUGUGUCUUUGUUAUAUAUGUCCACGGCCAAAAGAUCACGUACUUUCUGAGACCGUUAUGGGAGUCCCCGCCCAAGCCUUUCCACGAGAGACCUCACUACUAUCACGAGAAUGUGUCAAUGGAGAAUCUGUGUAAGCUUCAUGGUUGGGGGAUACGUGAGUACCCUAGACGUGUCUAUGAUGCAGUGCUGUUCAGCAACGAGGUGGACAUCCUCAAGAUGCGUUGGAAGGAGUUGUAUCCGUAUGUGACAGAGUUUGUCCUCCUUGAGUCGAAUUCCACCUUCACCGGGCUGCCAAAGCCCAACCUCUUCUCAACUGUCCGCGAUCAGUUCAAAUUUGUUGAGCCCCGUUUGACCUAUGGGCAGGUCCCGGGGAGAUUCAAGACGGGAGAGAACCCUUUUGUUGAGGAGGCGUAUCAGAGAUACACGUUGGAUUAUCUUCUCAAGCAAGCCGGCAUUCAGGAUGAUGACCUUUUGAUAAUGUCGGAUGUUGAUGAGAUCCCAAGUAGGCACACGAUCAAUCUCUUGAGGUGGUGCGAUGACAUACCCCCGAUCCUUCAUCUUCGUCUCAAGAACUAUCUGUACUCGUUCGAGUUUUUCCUUGACAACAACAGCUGGAGAGCCUCUGUCCAUGUAUACCAAUCUGGCAAGACGAGAUAUGCUCACUACCGACAGUCUGAUGAGAUCUUGGCUGAUGCAGGGUGGCAUUGUAGCUUCUGCUUCAAACGCAUCAGCGAAUUCAUAUUCAAGAUGAAGGCUUACAGCCACGUGGAUCGGGUGAGAUUCUCUCAUUUUCUGAGCCCUAAGAGGAUCCAGAAAGUGAUCUGCAAAGGUGCUGAUUUGUUUGACAUGCUGCCCGAGGAGUAUACGUUCAAGGAGAUAAUCGGGAAGAUGGGGCCGAUCCCACAUUCCUAUUCGGCCGUUCAUCUCCCUGCAUAUCUCUUGGAGGCAGCUGAUCAAUACAAAUUCCUCUUACCUGGGAAUUGCAUAAGGGAAAGAGAGAGUGGCUGAGCUACACGAACGAGGUCGUGUAUCUUCUUGUACAGGUGGAGGAAGCAAGCUUCAGCUCGACUCCCGGGUAAGGGUGACCUUUAACCAAAUUCAUGGCUGCAGUGUGUGUUGUUUUUAUAACCAUGCUACAUACAUGUUCAGCCUACUUAUAUCAUUCUUGCCUUCGAGCUUUUGAGAAAACAAAGAAAAAAAAUGACAGACAUAUCUCGGACUUUACUAGAUUGAGGUUUGUAUAUAAUCGUUCGUAGACUUGAUUUUCAUGCAACCGGAUAGUGCACUGAGCGAGAGAAACGAAAAGAAAAGAAAACGGGCUCUGCUAGGAACUACUUGUUGUAACUAGGGCGUUUCCAUAAUACAUAAACGCGCUAUGACUGUGCAUUACGCCCCCUUGAAGGCGGGGGGUUGGUUCAUCGUUGUUGCUGGCCGUUUUUCUGUCUCUAGGAAAAUUUUUGGUGUGAGCAGUGAGCUAAUAUAUUCAUCUGCAGAUUGUGAAACAUGCUGUAGUGCUUUCUUGAUUUUGGAUCUUCUCUCAAACUGUUUUUUUAUUUUUUCAAUGGAGAUAUGAUGUGAUGAUUCAGCUCUUUCUUGAGAUUUUCUUGCUAUUCUUUCCUCAAUUUUUACAGCUAAGUUUUGUCUGAAAACAGAGGAUUCUUGGCUUUGUGAAGCAUUGUUUGUUGAUGGAUAGCUGGUUUCUUGUUUGUUGAUGAACUAAGAAAUUAUGUGUGGGAAGAAAAAGAAUUAAAGAAAAAAGUCAAAUGAAAUAAAGAAUCUGAUACCCUCAAUAAUUUAUGAUGGUUUUUUGUCAUUGUUCAAGGUUGGCAUGUCCGAAUAUUUUUUCUAUUUCAAGAAAAUAUAAUCAUUAAUUGCCACUGAUGUGCAGCUCAUUACAUUUGCUUUAUUCAACACUUGCAAGUUACUACUAUAAUUUAAAUUAAAACCUUAUUAUACUUCAAAAUCUUUGUGAUCAUAUUAUAAUUGGCUACAUCAAUAAGGGCUUGUUCAUCAAGAUUGGCACUCAACCUUCAAAUACAUGAACUUCUAUUAUUUCUAUUUUUCACAUGGUUCUCAAUUAUCCUCAAAUUAAUAGCGAUAUGGACGCCUAGAAUGUUUACAUGACUUAAACGAUAGAUGACAAAACGAUAUAGUUGGAUGUCUAUGCAAUUUUAAUUGGUCACGUUGAUAUUAAUUUGUUAUGUCAACUUGCCACUAUGGUAUUAACUGUGAAAAAUUUCAAAUGAUUGGAACUUCAUGUAUUUAGGCGCAAUUAUUCUUUGAAAAUCAGACAGUUAGAAUCACAACUGUUGAUUAGAAGUGAUGCAAGAUUCUUUCCCAAGUGGGAUCAAAAGCUGUAAGAAAUUCCUCAGAGAAAUUACCAAAAAGGAAUUGAAUUCCACAAAAUAUAAAACAAUAUUACCCCAUAAUGGGAAUUGAAUCAGAUGCAUCCCCAUCUCAAAAACAAAAAAAAAACUAUAAGUAGCAGACACUAACACCAAUCAAUCUAUCAAGAGAGAGAGAGAGAGAGAGUCAAGAAAAUGCAGAUGUACAAGGAAGUAGUGGAGGAAUAUGAAUACAGCUACAGCAACAAUGGCUCAGACAUGCACAUGAUGAAGCCUGCUGCUGCACAGCACAGCUACAAUCAGAGCCAUGGCCAUGCGCCCGAGACGAGGUACGAGGAUGGCUGGGGCGGCGCCAAGAAUAAUGACCAUUAUGCCCUCGGUGGCAAGGUGCAUCACGGCGGCAAUGAGGGGAUGAAGCACGGUGGAUAGGGGCUGAUCAGGGGCAUUUUGGUCAUUACAAGGAGGGGAUGGGGAUGAAGCACGGCGGAUAUGGGGGCGAUCAGGGGCAUUUUGGUCAUUAUAAGGAGGUGAUGGGAUGAAGAA
rnacentral:lncRNA from 1 species